rnacentral:lncRNA from 1 species
UAGAUCAAUUAUAGAAUUACUAUUCAUUUACUUUUUAAGACAAGUGCAUCAGAAAACAAUUUCCUCCUUUAAAUAUGCAUCAUGUUUUUGAAUGAACAUAAUCUACAUUAUUAUGAACUUUCUGCUAAGGAAUUUAAAUUAACAGACUUUACCUAACAAGAUAAUAAUGUAUUUCAAUUCAAGAGGUGAUUUCCAUAUCUAAAUCACGUUACUUUUGAUAUAGUUUCUAAUUUUUUUAGGCUCAAAUAAUGACUCUUUGUGCAUUUCACAAGAUUAAGAAAUCAUUAGUAAAGGCCACUGCUCUUAUAGUUUAGUUGGUAUUAGAUUAAAUGUGUAGUUAGAAAAGAUAUGGGAAUCAAUUGAUCCUACUCAUAUUAAUAUAAAUCAAUCCAUUCAUGACAGAAACAAGAGUAACUGUGUCAAAAACACAAACAAGUUAGUAAUACAUCACACCUAAUAAAUCAAUAAUACAUCAGACUAUGACUUUACAAACUUUAAGUGAAAGUGGUCCUACAAAGUUUUCAAGACUAGGGAAAGGCUGAAAACCUUCAAAAAAAUCUAAAGCCCAAUGCAUCCCAUAAAACCAAAGAAUAUUUCACCAAAAAUUUACACUAUACAAUUAGAAACAACAGAGCCAUUAUGUUCCACCACAUCAGUGCAUGAAAACCAAAGAAACAACAAUCAGAAAUGCGAGAAUCGCAUGAGAAAGGAAAAACUAGGC